GACUCCAUGAAGCUGGAUUCGCUAGUAAUCGCGCAUCAGCCACGGCGCGGUGAAUACGUUCCCGGGCCUUGUACACACCGCCCGUCAAGCCAUGGAAGCCGGGGGUGCCUGAAGUGCGCUGCCGCAAGGAGCGCCCUAGGGUAAAACCGGUGACUGGGGCUAAGUCGUAACAAGGUAUC
rnacentral:rRNA from 1 species